AAGACCCAUUUUCCACAUCCAGUAACCAAUGACAAUGUUUUUGUUAUGAUGGACGCUUGCCACAUGCUGAAGCUGACACGCAAUAUGUUGCAGGCAUACAGCCCCAUUGGAAGCAUAAAUGGCAGUAUCAAUUAGAAGUACAUAGUCCAUCUGAACAAUGUCCAAAAGAAAAGUGGACUACAUGCUGCCAAUAGAGUCACAGAUAAGCAUGUGAACUUUUCUAAUCAGAAGAUGAAGGUCUCCCUGGCUGCUCAGACUUUGAGUAGCUGUGUGGCAGUGGCGCUCUGCACGUUGCAGGAGGUGGGCUAUGCAAAGUUCAAAGAUUGUGAGGCUACUGCAGAAUUCAUAAAGAUAACAGACAGGCUGUUUGACAUCUUGAACAGUCGCAAUCUCAGAGGCAAAGGCUUCAAAGUCCCCCUUGGUUCUAGGAAUUGGACAAGCACCAGGGAGUUCUUGUCAAAAGCCAGGGGAUACUUGCUCACUUUGAAGAUGGAAGAUGGCAAACCCCUUUACCGAACAAAGAGGUCUUUUAAAAUAGUGACUGUUGUAUUAAUGAUGCACUGACACCAUUUGCUGUCGCCAAUACCCAGUACAAAUCCUUUUAGUAUAAUUAAAUGAUCAGAAUGAGACUGCUGAUUUAGAAAAUAUGGGUUUAUUAUAUUCUGUUAGAUUUAUACAAGUAGUCAAUUUACAAGUCAUUAAAUUAUCCAAGGUAAUACUCCACCGGUUUCAGUGCAUCCCUCAACAAGUCCAUGAGUUCAUGAGAUGCUUCGUUCUCUUAUUUAUCUAUCUUCUGCAUCGAGUUCAGAUGCUCUGUUCUCCUGUCUGCAUCGAGUUCAUAAGAUGCUCUGUUCUCUUGUUUAUCUAUGUUCUGCAUCGAGUUCAGAUGCUCUGUCCUCUUGUUUGCAUCGUGUUCAUGAGAUGCUCUUUUCGGUCUGCGUCAAGUUCAUAAAGCGGUACGUAUUAUUAAUAUAAUACUAUCUUGUUCCAACGUGUUUGCAGUUUGCAAAUUUGUUUCAGUUCGAAUUCUCUUGUAUUCAGUUUUUUCCUCCCCAGAUGCCGGUGUCAAAGAGGUAUGUAUUGGAUGGUCUGCAUGUUAUGCUGUGAAUUGAUUCAAGAAGGUUUUGUGUCCCUAAAAUAAAUUUUUAGGGACAUAGCCGUUCGCCUGCUCUGUGAGCAGAAGCUGGGGCCCAAUCUUUGCGCCCCUGCGCACAGAGGAAAGGGACGCUAAUCGUGCAAAACGGAGCGAGUUUUUGCGGGGUAAUGAACCGAGGAAUCUCGGGUGGCAUUUUAGCAUAUCAUAGUUAACAGGUGUAAAAUAGUUUGUUUAUGAGAUGCGACCUAAGUUGGAGUCGAUCCGGCAACCUUGAUUUUAUCUGCCACUUUUCAGUUCCUCCGCCGGUUAAAUCCCUCAUAGGAGUUAAUGGUUUAUUGUAUAUAACAGGGAUUCCCAAAGUGUGGUGCGCGCACCCCUGGGGGUGCGCGAGCUGCCACUAGGGGGUGCGCGAGCUGA